rnacentral:rRNA from 1 species
GACGAACGCUGGCGGCGUGCUUAACACAUGCAAGUCGAACGGAAAGGCCCUGCUUUUGUGGGGUGCUCGAGUGGCGAACGGGUGAGUAACACGUGAGUAACCUGCCCUUUACUUUGGGAUAACUUCAGGAAACUGGGGCUAAUACCUGAUAGGAGCUCCUGCUGCAUGGUGGGGGUUGGAAAGUUUCGGCGGUUGGGGAUGGACUCGCGGCUUAUCAGCUUGUUGGUGGGGUAGUGGCUUACCAAGGCUUUGACGGGUAGCCGGCCUGAGAGGGUGACCGGCCACAUUGGGCCUGCGAUACGGCCCAGACUCCUACGGGAGGCAGCAGUGGGGAAUAUUGCCCAAUGGGCGGAAGCCUGAUGCAGCAACGCCGCGUGCGGGAUGACGGCCUUCGGGUUGUAAACCGCUUUCGCCUGUGACGAAGCGUGAGUGACGGUAAUGGGUAAAGAAGCACCGGCUAACUACGUG